rnacentral:rRNA from 1 species
GACAGAGGUGCCGAGCGUUAGGCGGAAUCACUGGGCUUAAAGCGUGUGUAGGCGGAUUCCUAAGUACCUUGUGAAAUCCCACGGCUUAACCGUGGAACUGCUUGGUAUACUGGGUGUCUUGAGCCAACUAGAGGCAGUCGGAACAAACGGUGGAGCGGUGAAAUGCGUAGAUAUCGUUUGGAACGCCAAUGGUGAAAACAGACUGCUGGGGUUGUGCUGACGCUGAGACACGAAGCCAGGGGAGCGAACGGG